rnacentral:lncRNA from 1 species
UCUUAGCGGGCCAAGGACUGGAAAUGAACACUGGCGGGGUUAUCAGUGCUGAUCUGUCAGCAGCGAGUCGCGCACUGCUUGUCCCAGGCAGCAGCAGUGAUAUACGUCUUAUUCCUUUGGGCUCACAAAAGGGAUUUCUUUCGACAAGCUGGACACUGGAAGAAGACUGCGGAGGGGAAUUGAAUAGGAGAAACACUCUUGUGGGAGUGGAUUUUUACACGAACACCCCAGUCCCUGUGGCUUCAGCGUGGUGGCUGCCUUUCUGAAAGGCUGAAAGUAGAAAACUCUGGAAUGGAAAGGCUAGCAGCUGGAACAGGAUUUGAAGACUUUAAAUGUUAACCCGAGUUCGAUCGAAAGUUACUACCACAAGAGACUGCCACCGGCCGGCCCAAUUCCCACCGCGGCUUCCAGUGGCUUGCUUUGGGUUGUCCGGUAAGUUCCAACCAAAUUUUUAAGCGGGUUGGGUUCUGCGAAGUUCAUUUGUAAGCAAUUCAUUAAAGCUUCGGACAUCGCUUUUUCAUUUGAGUCCAAUUUUCCGAAAUAAUGUCUCCAGUUUGCUCAUAAAAGCAAUUUUUACAGUUCGAAUUUGCUAAUAAAAUAAUAAAUGACUUGGCUAACUAAAUUUGGCGUCCUGGCUGUGAACGACCUUCAAGGUUGAGGGAGAUCGAGCUCUCGCGCGAGACUAGUUCUAGUCCUGUGGGUGUUUUUGGCUUUGUUUUGUUUUGUUUGUUCGAGGGGUUAUCCUGCGUAAAUUUCCUGGAACAAUAGCAAACCCCUACUGCUCUGCUUUCCCGAAGCUAGGCAUGGAAGACUAGAAAACACACUGACCCUGGCGCUUCUGGGACAGAGGUGAGGAGUUCGACCCAUAUGAACAGAUUCGACAACAUUCGGACUCUGGCGGCUGGGGAAGAAACCCAUAAUUUUACCCUUCUCAUUCCCAAUCAUUUUAGUAGUGCCUCCAACCACAAGAAAAAACGAUAGAUCAUUGUUUUUCCUUUCAGGGCUCAAAAUUCACCUUUAGUUUUUUUUUUUAAGGCUGGCUUUCCGGAAGAGGACUAGGUUAGAGAAAUAUUUUUUUUCCAUUUCAGUUAAUGUAAAAAUAAAACCUGUCCGGUUGACUAAGACAAAAACUAGACUCCUGCAGACUCUAAUUUGUUUUUUUAUUCCCCCCCCCCACUCACAAACUGGCGACGACACCCCAGUCCAGUAAGCAAAGGCACAUUUCAAAGCCCUCCCCCACCGGCCUCAGCCUGGACUCUGCAGGGAAAUUGAAGCCAGCAGAAUCCUGGGUGCCGAGGGGAAGGGAAAGGUGGCACACCAACCUAGGGGAGCCCCAAAAUGGAGAUGGUCCCCAUCGUGCCCCAGAUAGCUCCUGGAAGUUUCUUUCUUAGUGUUUUUCUUUUGUUUUGUUUCCUUCUUUUCAACUCCUUUUCUCUUGUCUCCUCUUGCAUUCCCCAAGCUGGCUUUGCUAGUCUUGACCGGAAUCGUUUUGCUCAGAACCAUUUAGACCCAAGAAGCAGGCCCUCCAAACAGAAUCUUCUUCCAACGCCCGAAAGAAGGUUGACUCCGGGGCGCGGCCUGUCCCCUAUGCUCUUUUAUUCGGUCCGAACCAAACCACCACUCGCCUUUCAAAUCUAGCCGGAACACAGCAGCCAAUAGGGCAGGGGGCGGGGGCUCUGUAGCUAAAAGGGAAGGGGUGUUUGGGGACUCGAUGGCGCGCGGCUUCCUGGGGGCACCACAAACCUGAGCCUGGAUGUGUGUCGCUAUAGACCUUUGGCCUUGCAAACUCAAGCUCCUUACCUGUCACUUCACAAAGCUUCUACCUGCUCCAACGUCGAUUCAAAAGUGGGGCAAGGGGUGUUGAUACAUACACAUACAAUUUCUGUGUUAAACAUGGUUUGAACUUCAGAUUUAAAAAUAUUACGCUAAAGCUAUAAUUCACUGGUGAAUUGCUUAAUGUUCAAGGAUGUGGGUUCGAUUCCCACUCACUAC